GAUGAAGAACGCAGCGAAAUGCGAUAAGUAGUGUGAAUUGCAGAAUUCAGUGAAUCAUCGAAUCUUUGAACGCACAUUGCGCCCCUUGGUAUCCCGAGAGGCAUGCCUGUUCGAGCGUCAUUUCACCACUCAAGCCUGGCUUGGUGUUGGGCGACGUCCCCUUUGGGGACGCGCCUCGAAACGCUCGGCGGCGUGGCACCGGCUUUAAGCGUAGCAGAAUCUUUCGCUUUGGAAGUCGGGGCCCCGUCUGCCGGAAGACCUACUCGCAAGGUUGACCUCGGAUCAGGCAGGGAUACCCGCUGAACUUAAGCAUAUCAAUAAGCGGAGGA
rnacentral:misc_RNA from 1 species